CUGCAUGUGGGACCAACAUGGGCAACACGGAGUUUAAACAGUUGCAAAUGGAGGGCGGGAACACCGUGCCUUGUUCUACAUAUUUCUCCCUGACUGGGUUGAAUUUAAAGUGAUGUUGCUCCAUUGUUCACAGGGCUCCUUGCCCCAUAUUGACAGAAGCUACUGUUUACAUGGACUUUUCAUUCUUUCAUUGUUUGCUUAUGGAAAAUAAGGGGGAGUGACAAAAAAAUAAAAGGGAAGGGGGGAGAGAAAAGAGGGAGUCACUGACUACAUUGCAGAACCAGUAACCUUGUCUUAUGUGAUCAUUAACCUUGCUGGAAAAUGCAGCUGGCAGUUCAUUCUGAAGCUUACCAUUAGAAUGUGAGCAAAGACACGAAUACUGCAGAGGCAUUUCAAGGACGGUUUGAUUUGCUGCUAGUUUUAAACAAUACCGCACCUACUUUGUGAGACUGCAAAAUGAGAGUUCAACAGAUCCUUUACAUCUUACUUUUUCUCUUAAUGAGUCUACUUUUUGUAAUCGGACAGAGACCAGCUAACCUGGCCCUGCGCAGAAAGCUGCACAGACACAACUGCUCCCACAGGCGGUGCAUGCCUCUCCACUCCAGAGUGCCCUUCCCCUGAGAGACCUGCGAGCCGCCCUCCCCGCGCUCACCUUCGGCCACGGUACUUCGCACGGGUUGGGCAAUACAAAGCAGGCGGCGCCAAGAAGCAUGCAAUGAUCGGAGAGCUGCCGGGGGCGUCCCUGUGGAAACGCGGCUCACCGUGCUCUGCCUCGCCACAGCAUUGCCCAAGUCGGCUCGCAUUUGCCAACAGCUGACGUUCUACUAACCGAGGAGGCUACAUUUGGGCACGAGGCCUUGGGAUGUUUGUUCUGAAAACAGGCAUUUGAAAAAGCAAAAGAAGAAUGAAAGAGGAAACCAGUCAAGAAAAUGUGAUGUGAUAGCUGCAGCUUUCUAAUCAGUGCAGGUGUCCACCUAUAAGCCAUCACCACAUUCAGAACCUUAUCAGACUCCUACUGGAACAACUUCACAGGAGUUUCAGAUUUCUCCAAGUUGGGAAAAACAAUGGAAUCACAAAUGACUCCUUUCAGGAACUUUGGAAAAUCACCAGUGCCAUAAAAAGAUAGUCACUGUUUUUCAAACACCAACAAAUUAACUAUGUAGGUACCAGCAAACCAUUGUUGCUUUGAAAAUUUUUAAAAAAUUAGACCAAUAUUAUGCUACCAAAAGACCUAUUAUUUUAAUAGUUGUUUACCAUUCAAAUAGGUCUGUAUUUCUAUUUAGACAUAAAUACCUAAUAAAGAAUGGUGAUUCUUUAAAUCUUAAAUUCUUUAAAUAACUUUAAUAGUUACAUUUUAUGGACAAAUAUGUGGACUUUAAUGUUUAUGGUGGUUCUGGAUGUUUAUAUGUAUCUAUAAUUAUGCAAUUAACUUUUAACUUUCUUAAUAAUCUCAAGAAAUGCAUAAUGUAUCCAGAUAGUUAUAAGUGCACAUUCAUUUAUGGAUAGAAAAUGUUAACCACUAACCUCUCUUUGGAAGCAAAAAUGUUCAGCCUAGAUUUUGGAAAAAAAUUCUGAAUGUAUUAGCUCUUUUUUUAAAGUCAUGUUGCAUACUACAAAAACAGCUAAAUAAAAUCAUAGGUCAUGAUCUUUGAUUGUUAUUAAUGUUUAGAAAAUACCUAUGUGGCUGUAUAUUUUGUAAACAUACUAUGCACUUCAAUAACAUCUCAGUUUAAAUAAACUUUGUACAUUUUAUUUUUAA